rnacentral:rRNA from 1 species
AUCUCUGUAGAGUCUGCAUAUCAAUAAGCGGAGGAAAAGAAACUAACAAGGAUUCCCUUAGUAACGGCGAGUGAAGCGGGAAGAGCUCAAAUUUGAAAUCUUCAAGGUUUUACCUUGACGAAUUGUAGUUUAAAGAAGUGUUUUCUGUUGAAGUUUCAGGUAAAAGUUCUUUGGAAUAGGACAUCAUAGAGGGUGAGAAUCCCGUAUUUGACCGUUAUUUUCAGCUGUGUGAUACACUUUCAAAGAGUCGGAUUGUUUGGGAAUGCAGUCCAAAAUGGGUGGUAAAUUUCAUCUAAAGCUAAAUAUUGGCGAGAGACCGAUAGCGAACAAGUACCGUGAGGGAAAGAUGAAAAGAACUUUGAAAAGAGAGUUAAACAGUACGUGAAAUUGUCAAAAGGGAAGCGUUUGACACCAGUGUUGUUUUCUCGAAAAUCAAUUAAAAAUGGCCGGAUUUUGUGUUGUAUUGACUUUAUCAGCUUUCUGCACUUUUUUCUUGUCUUUUUUAAUGCACUUUUCGUUUAACAAGUCAACAUCAAUUUCUUUUGUUGUAAAAGGGUCAUUGGAAGGUGGCUUUCUUUUCGGAGAAAGUGUUUAUAGCCUUUGACUCCUGCAAUCGGAGAGACUGAGGUCUGCAGCGUAGAUCCUUCUUGGAUUAGAUUCAUUUGUGCUAAGUUAUAGCUUUUUAUAGACAACAUGUUGACUAUAUUUAGUCUUGUAGCUUACUCGCUUAUGUAAUUUUACCUACGCUUAGGAUGUUGAACGCGCACAGAGUCUC